GCCGCGGUGGUGAAAUUGGUAGACACGCAAGGUUCAGGACCUUGUGGGCGCGAGCCUGUGCGAGUUCGAGUCUCGCCCGCGGCA
rnacentral:tRNA from 2 species